rnacentral:rRNA from 1 species
GUCCCGCAACGAGCGCAACCCUUGUCUUUAGUUGCCAUCAUUAAGUUGGGCACUCUAAAGAGACUGCCGGUGACAAACCGGAGGAAGGUGGGGAUGACGUCAAGUCAUCAUGCCCCUUAUGACCUGGGCUACACACGUGCUACAAUGGGCAGUACAACGAGAAGCGAACCCGCGAGGGUAAGCGGAUCUCUUAAAGCUGUUCUCAGUUCGGACUGCAGGCUGCAACUCGCCUGCACGAAGCUGGAAUCGCUAGUAAUCGCGGAUCAGCACGCCGCGGUGAAUACGUUCCCGGGCCUUGUACACACCGCCCGUCACACCAUGGAAGUCUGCAAUGCCCAAAGUCGGUGGGAUAACCUUUAUAGGAGUCAGCCGCCUAAGGCAGGGCAGAUGACUGGGGUGAAGUCGUAACAAGGUAGCCGUAGGAGAACCUGCGGCUGGAUCACCUCCUUUCUAAGGAA